rnacentral:rRNA from 1 species
AGAGUUUGAUCCUGGCUCAGGAUGAACGCUGGCGGCGUGGAUAAGGCAUGCAAGUCGAACGGAUUUUAUUUAUUUUAAGAUGAGAUUAUAUCAAGUCAAGAAAUUUAUAAGAUUAGUGGCAGACGGGGUAGUAACACGUAGGAACUCACCCCAGAGACGGGUACAACUCCGCGAAAGCGGAGCUAAUUCCCGAUAGUUCUCCGACCUUAGGGUCGGAGUAAUACAAUCAGAUUGGCUCUGGGAGAGGCCUGCGGGCUAUCAGCUUGUUGGCGGGGUAAUGGCCCACCAAGGCGACGACGGCUAGGGGGAGUGAGAGCUUGGCCCCCACCAAUGGAACUGCGAUAAGGUCCAUACACCUACGGGUGGCAGCAGCCGAGAAUAUUCGACAAUGGGCGAAAGCCUGAUCGAGCGACGCCGCGUGCAGGAGGAAGUCCUUCGGGACGUAAACUGCUUUUUUUAGGGGAGGAACGAAAGUGACUGUACCCUAAGAAUAAGGGCUUGCUAACCUCGUGCCAGCAGCCGCGGUAAUACGAGGGGCCCAAGCGUUAUCCGGAUUUAUUGGGCGUAAAGGGUGUGUAGGGGGUCUGGUUAGUCCCGUUUUAAAAACUUCGGCUUAACCGAAGAGAUGGGCGGGAAACGGCCAAACUUGAGGAUGCCAGAGGCAAGCGGAACUCACGGUGUAGGGGUGAAAUCCGUUGAUAUCGUGGGGAACACCAAAGGCGAAGGCAGCUUGCUGGGGCAUUCCUGACCCUGAAACACGAAAGCGUGGGGAUCAAAAAGGAUUAGAUACCCUUGUAGUCCACGCCCUAAACGAUGAUGACUAGCCAUUGGAAGUAUCGACCCUUCGAGUGGCGAAGCUAACGCGUUAAGUCAUCCGCCUGGGAAGUACGAACGCAAGUUUAAAACUCAAAGGAAUAGACGGGGACUCGCACAAGCGGUGGAGCAUGUGGUUUAAUUCGAUGGUAAACGAAAAACCUUACCAGGGCUUGAAAUGGCUUUGAUAAUCCCGUGAAAGCGGGACUUCUCACAAGGACAAAGUCACAGGUGCUGCAUGGCUGUCGUCAGUUCGUGGCUUGAGCUGUUCCCUUAAGUGGGGUAACGAACGCAACCCCUAUCGUCUGUUAUAUGUGUCAGGCGAGACUGCCCCGCUCAGCGGGGAGGAAGGCGGGGAUGACGCCAAGUCAGCAUGGCCCUCUGAUGCCCUGGGCUACACACGUGCUACAAUGCCGGCUACAAUGGGUCGCGAUACCGCAAGGCGGAGCAAAUCCCAUCAAAGGCCGGCCCAAUUCGGAUUGAGGUCUGCAACUCGACCUCAUGAAGUAGGAAUCGCUAGUAAUCGCAGGUCAGCUAUACUGCGGUGAAUAUGUUCUCGAGUCUUGUACUCACCGCCCGUCAACUCAAGGGAGCCGGGAGUAGAUGAAGCCCCGCACC